rnacentral:rRNA from 1 species
CGGGUGAGUAACGCGUGGAUAACCUGCCUCACACUGGGGGAUAACAGUUAGAAAUGACUGCUAAUACCGCAUAAGCGCACAGUACCGCAUGGUACAGUGUGAAAAACUCCGGUGGUGUGAGAUGGAUCCGCGUCUGAUUAGCCAGUUGGCGGGGUAACGGCCCACCAAAGCGACGAUCAGUAGCCGACCUGAGAGGGUGACCGGCCACAUUGGGCCUGAGACACGGCCCAA